rnacentral:rRNA from 1 species
GACGAACGCUGGCGGCGUGCCUAAUACAUGCAAGUCGAGCGCAGGAAAUCGACGGAACCCUUCGGGGGGAAGUCGACGGAAUGAGCGGCGGACGGGUGAGUAACACGUAAAGAACCUGCCCUCAGGUCUGGGAUAACCACGAGAAAUCGGGGCUAAUACCGGAUGGGUCAUCGGACCGCAUGGUCCGAGGAUGAAAGGCGCUUCGGCGUCGCCUGGGGAUGGCUUUGCGGUGCAUUAGCUAGUUGGUGGGGUAAUGGCCCACCAAGGCGACGCUGCAUAGCCGACCUGAGAGGGUGAUCGGCCACACUGGGACUGAGACACGGCCCAGACUCCUACGGGAGGCAGCAGUAGGGAAUCUUCCACAAUGGACGAAAGUCUGAUGGAGCAACGCCGCGUGAACGAUGAAGGCCUUCGGGUCGUAAAGUUCUGUUGUAAGGGGAGAACAAGUGCCGCAGGCAAUGGCGGCACCUUGACGGUACCUUGCGAGAAAACCACGGCUAACUACGUGCCAGCCGCCGCCGUAA